ACCAUAGGCUGAAAUAAGCUAGUCACGAACUGAGACCACCGAAACCAUAGGCCGACAUAUACCGCUCUUCUUCAUACGUCAAUCAGUCACCUUCGGUAUUGGUUACAGUGACUGAAUGCUGAAGAACACUGCCUACCUCCAAGGAGCAGGAUUCUGUGGACUAAAUGAGCAAGAUGGGCUGAGACCCAAGAGUGCUACAGUGUAACUGCAGGAGUGUGGCUGGAUUCUAGAGUAACAGAACGCAGAUGCUCCAGCGUGUUUGCUGUCCUUGGGACACACCUCCAGUCAUUACAAGCCAGAGCAAUGAGACCACAAAGAGGCAUAACGGACCUUGCUCUUGUUGACUGUCCGUCGAGGAGACCCUCAACUCUGAGUGACCCUUAGAGUGAUCUGGGGGUUUUCUUCAGUGUGGCUGCUGACUGCAUCAAGCAAGUGCCUGCACCUAAAACAGCUUAUUCAGUGUAGAGUAACCAGGAAGCACGGAGGAAUGUUGUCACCUUUCCAGGUUUAUUAGAGGAGGAUUUGUGUGUGGUGAAGCUAAUCCAAGGACUGCCUGACUGAAGAACAUCCCAUACCCGGUGAGCAAGAAGUGCAAAGGCCCUGGGGUGAGAGUGAACCUUAUCAACUCCAGGAACAGCAGGAGGCUGGGGCCUAGAGGUGAGUAGGGAUAUAACAGACAGGGAUCGUGGGCAAGCUUUAAAUUUCCCUUUCCCUGUAAGUAUAAUAGCAGCUCUUAGGGGCUUGGGUCUGGGGAGGAUUUUAACUUGAUUUAUCUGUUUCUCUGCCUUUAGUACUGAGAGCAGAGAGGCCAUCGAGGGCUCUGGGGCCAGGGGAUGGCUUAGUUAGCGAAAUGCUCCCAUGCAAGCAUGAAGACCAGAGUUCAAGCUCCAGAGUUGACUCACACAAGUUGGGCGUGGUGCCAUGAGCUGGAGAAACGGACAGGGAGGGGGCUUCUUGGGACUAGCUGACCAGUUAGUCUAGCCAAAUAAGUGAGUUCUGAAUUCGUGACACUCAAAGUUGUCCCGAGCUUCCUACACACAUCUGUGCAUUCAGGAGCAUGUGUGUGUGCAUGUGUGCGCGCAUAAACACACACACACACAUACACACACACACAAAGAAAUGUGCCAGCCACCAGUCUGACACCACAGUCUUCUCUAGCACCUAUAGUUUCUCAUACAUACACAUCUCUUUCCAGGAAUGCCUUUACCCAUACUUUUUCCACAGUCCCUGCUCAUUCCUGAGGUCCCAGCUCCGACUCACCCUUCUGGGGAUGCCUUCACUCUCUCCCAUGGCAGGAUGAAUUCACAUUCUCACUCUCGUUACCGGUUCCAGCCAUGGGCACACAUAGUGUGUCUCUGGUCCUCCCUCCACUAGGCCAAGAGUCCUGCAAACACUAACAUGUCACUCUGAUAUAUCUCAGAGACCACAGGCCUUCCCUAGCCUGCUCUGGGGGUGGAGCCCGACAAGUGCUUUCUGGGUUGAUGUGAGUUAUUCGAGUACCUGGGUCAUUGGCUGAAGCACCAAGUUAACAAGUGCCCUUUGAACAAGAGAGAUUAGAAAGUAUCACACUGUUCUUCCUGGUGACGUUCCAGCAAAUCCACAUUUUCUGGGACUCCUGACCCAUGGAGGGUGUUCCUCAGUGUUUUCUAAAUCAGUAGCCAGUGAGAGUCAAAUUUGAAUAGAUAUCUCUCAAGAGCCAGUCCUGUAUUAUCUUGAGACAAGUGUUUGUUAAAAAAAAAAAAAAAAAGAUCCUAGUUGCUAGAAUGCAUCUUGUAAAUACUUGUGUUUGAAAGUGUACAGUUGCAGGAUGCUUGGUUCCUGUACAUGUUUGCUUGCGACUGUAAAUCUGUUUGUCACAGAUGCUUCCGAUGCCUGCUUGUUGUUUUCUUUUUCUUAAUUAAUCUAUUGAUGUCGAAUUAUGCGUCUUUUCCUAUGAAGCUAGAAGUGUAUUUAAAAGCUCAUUUCCUUGUCUGAGA